UACGAAGGGGGCUAGCGUUGUUCGGAAUCACUGGGCGUAAAGCGUAUGCAGGCGGAUCGUUAAGUGAGGGGUGAAAUCCCGAGGCUCAACCUCGGAACUGCCUUUCAUACUGACGAUCUUGAGUCCGGGAGAGGUUAGUGGAACUGCGAGUGUAGAGGUGAAAUUCGUAGAUAUUCGCAAGAACACCAGUGGCGAAGGCGGCUAACUGGCCCGGUACUGACGCUGAGAUACGAAAGCGUGGGGAGCAAACAGG
rnacentral:rRNA from 1 species